AAGGCAACUGGCGGAGUGGCGGCUCCACCAGAGCCUGGGAGCUGCCCCCGCCCCCGAGCCGCGAGCCCCGCGCCGGGCCGGGGAGUCCCCGGCGCCACACGCCCCCACCACCCCCAUCUUAGCGCCCCCCACCCUCUAUGGAGACAUUUCAACCAGGGAGAAGGGAAGUCCUGCCCUUGCCCCUCGCCCCCGCCCUGCUCCUCCAACAGGGGAGACUUCUGUCCAAACCUUGGAAAGAAACGAGAUGCCAGGCCUAGCGCCUUCGGGGAUCCUCUCUGGACAAGGCCACAGGGUGAAAACACCAGGUGAGGACUUCACUACCCUUGGGGCCACCAUGGGACCCUGGAGACCUUUGCCUCCCUCCAGGCGCCCCCGACCCCUUAAACUUUUUCUCCCUGAGCUCAGCCUGGAGCAGAGUUAGGAUCCUGGGAAAGCCCCUUACCAGUUGCUCCAACCCCCUCCUUAAACUGGAAGGGAAACUGAGGCCCAGAGAAAAGUAGUGAUUGACUAGGGCCACAUGGCACGUUCCUAGAGGAAGAGCAUGGGCCAGAACCCACAGAUGCUGACCUCCUGGCCAGAGGUCAAGGCAUUCCUUAUGGUUGAGCAUAGCCAGCCCCGUGUGCCAGUAUCCAGCCCCUGCCCUGCACCAAGCAGAGGGGCUGGACACCUCUGUCAUGGCACCAGCUGCCUCUCCUUCCCCAGCACAGUCUGGACCUGGGCGGACUUUUUGGAAAAGCUUCUGGAUGCCACGGACUCCACGACCAACCAACUAGGUUGCUGCUGCUUGCAAACAUCGCCUCCAUUGAAGGAUUCCUGCAGCCACCAGCUCUGGAACUUUCUGGAACCAAACAUUUCCCCAGACUGCCUACAAGGACCAAUUGGCCUCUGGAUCACUUCCUGGAGGCGUUUGACCGGGACCUGGGAGGGCAGCUGAGAAGUGCCUGACCAUUCUCAAGGAGCUGCGUGGAUUCCAGACAUCUCUGGGCUGGUCUCUGGACCGGGAUGGGGGACCCAGAGGUGGAGCCGAACACACAAGCAGCACUUGAGGGCUCCGAGGGUGGCAAGGAGAGAAGUUCCUGCUCUGGUACAGCCCUGGGACCUUGAAAGGUGCUUCAACAGAGCGUCCACUCCCAGCGCCUAGCUCUGGGACCUUGAAUGGUGCUUUAACAGAGCGUCUGCUCCCAGCGCCAAGCCCUCAGUGCAGAGGGGGAGACUCAGGCGGCCCUCAGACACAAUUCGCCAAGGUCGCACAGCAAGUCAGGGUGCCGCUAAGACUAGGACCUACAGCUCUGCCUCCUGGCCCAGGCUCCUCAGCACCUGGGCCCCAGAGGACAGCCUGUGGGAGGCCCACAUGGCCACUGCACCAUGAACCAAGGACCUGGUCCGGGUCCACCUCCACCAAGUGCUGGCCGUGUGUCACUGGGGUCACUCCACUCUCUGCAUUAGGUCUCAGUCAUCCAAGACCAUCUUUCAAGGGCCGUCACUCCAAUUAUGAGUCUGGGAUUUUCUGAAAUUGAGCAUUUUGGCCAGGCUGUGGGGUCCCUCUAUGACUGCCUGUAAGACACUGCCAAGGGGACUUUCUUCCUUUCACCAGACUGAAGCUAAGAAGUGCUGGAGACAGCAGUUGCUUUAGCCACAGGCUGUGUAGACCACCUGAGGAUGACCUGGGGGUCUGUUUUGUGCACCUUGGAACCCAUCGGAUCCCUCCAAUGGUACAUCCCCUCCCACUGGCCUUUCCACGUGGAC
rnacentral:lncRNA from 1 species